rnacentral:rRNA from 1 species
GGGGGGGGCGGGGGGCGGGGCUGAGACAGGCGGGGCGAGGGGGAACAGGUCUGCGGAUGCUGACGAGUGGCGAACGGGGGCGUAAUACAUCGGAACGUGCCCCGACGUGGGGGAGAACGAGGCGAAAGCUGGGCUAAUACCGCCUACGAUCGAAGGAUGAAAGCAGGGGCCCGCAAGGCCUGGUGCGGUUGGAGCGGCCGAUGGCAGAGUAGGUAGUUGGUGGGAUAAAAGCUUACCAAGCCGACGAUCUGUAGCUGGUCUGAGAGGACGACCCGCCACACUGGGACUGAGACACGGCCCAGACUCCUACGGGAGGCAGCAGUGGGGAAUUUUGGACAAUGGGCGAAAGCCUGAUCCAGCAAUGCCGCGUGCAGGAUGAAGGCCUUCGGGUUGUAAACUGCUUUUGUACGGAACGAAAAGGCUCUGGCUAAUACCUGGGGCACAUGACGGUACCGUAAGAAUAAGCACCGGCUAACUACGUG